ensembl:lncRNA
CGGGGGCAGGUCGGACGGCUGCAGGAUGCGUGUAUUCAAGGGGCUGCGGUUGUUAGAAGUCUUCUAAGCAUUGUGGGUGGGGGCUCUGGCUUCUGGUGCAGGCAUGCAAGAAGCUCAGAAGUCAGCACUCCACACUAACAACAAGCAAAAGUAUCGUCAGUGGAGGAUCCACUUUUCAGCAAAUGCGCACAAACGCAUUCCGUCCACACGGGCCUGCCUGGCUGGCCAUGCUCUGCAGGGCAUGGGUGGGCGUCUGCCUCAGUUUCCCCGUCUGUGACCCCAGGUGCCCUGCCUCACACCAUCACUGGGAGGAGUCCACAGGUUUCUACACGUGAAGUACUUGGAACAGCGACUGGCAGACCAGACGGCACACGUCUGUCUAGCGUCAUCUCUGGUCCCUGCCCAGUGGAAGCCUGGAGCACCACCCCGAGUCAUGACACCAAAGAUGUCCCCAGACGUCCCCCUCCCCAAGAGGAACCAAGGACUCACCAAGUCAAUCAGGAGGGUACUUGUGUGUGUUUACAACAAACUUUUGGCUGUGAAC